UGUGUGUGUACUAUGUAUAAAGGAAUAGGCGUUCAACUCCUAAUAAUGCCUAGAUGCAGUACUGUGUGCCAUAUGUCGCAAAUGGCAAAACCAUUUCUGUGAUUUUAAUAAGUUUUUUCCCCCUCGCACAUGAAACGCCAUGGACAAAUUUGGCCUCUUUCAUUUCCCAUCCCGUGACGACUAUUUGGAGAACCAAGAAAAUGUGUUGAGGAAUUUUCAAGGGAAACUUCGAAAUGGCAAAUGUUUCAAAAAAACAUACGAUGCGUGUGAAAUAACCUCAAAGGUCAGUGAAUUAACAGAGAUGGCACUUGAGCUUGCACCUGCUCAAAAGACCAACAGGAAGGUUGACACCACGCCUCCAAACCAGAAAGUCAAAGACACCAACAAAGUUGCAAGCAAACAAAACGCUAAGACAAAAAGAGAUGCCGUCAGAUGGACACAGAGACUCAAAGGUUCAACGUUACCAGUGAAGACUGAUGGGACCGGAGGAACGUUUUGCACCGAACCUGAAACGCCAAUCGGGGAACGCGAGUGCAAAGCUACCAAAUCACCCAUGAAGGUCACAAGCACCAGGAUAGGUUCUGGCCUAAAACAAAAGACUCGGCAAAGACUCAAAGCCAAAAAGUCACCUGUGAAGGCUGUGCAAGUUAAAGGAAUGAAGAAAAAAACUGCCAUCCAAUCGGAGACUCACACAAGGAAGCGUGAGGUCAAACUUGCCGAAAUGCCACCAAAAGGGAGCAAACUCCAAUCGGG